UCGAACGAUGAAGCUUCUAGCUUGCUAGAAGUGGAUUAGUGGCGCACGGGUGAGUAAGGUAUAGUUAAUCUGCCCUACACAAGAGGACAACAGUUGGAAACGACUGCUAAUACUCUAUACUCCUGCUUAACACAAGUUGAGUAGGGAAAGUUUUUCGGUGUAGGAUGAGACUAUAUAGUAUCAGCUAGUUGGUAAGGUAAUGGCUUACCAAGGCUAUGACGCUUAACUGGUCUGAGAGGAUGAUCAGUCACACUGGAACUGAGACACGGUCCAGACUCCUACGGGAGGCAGCAGUAGGGAAUAUUGCGCAAUGGGGGAAACCCUGACGCAGCAACGCCGCGUGGAGGAUGACACUUUUCGGAGCGUAAACUCCUUUUCUUAGGGAAGAAUUCUGACGGUACCUAAGGAAUAAGCACCGGCUAACUCCGUGCCAGCAGCCGCGGUAAUACGGAGGGUGCAAGCGUUACUCGGAAUCACUGGGCGUAAAGGGCGCGUAGGCGGAUUAUCAAGUCUCUUGUGAAAUCUAAUGGCUUAACCAUUAAACUGCUUGGGAAACUGAUAGUCUAGAGUGAGGGAGAGGCAGAUGGAAUUGGUGGUGUAGGGGUAAAAUCCGUAGAUAUCACCAAGAAUACCCAUUGCGAAGGCGAUCUGCUGGAACUCAACUGACGCUAAGGCGCGAAAGCGUGGGGAGCAAACAGGAUUAGAUACCCUGGUAGUCCACGCCCUAAACGAUGUACACUAGUUGUUGGGGUGCUAGUCAUCUCAGUAAUGCAGCUAACGCAUUAAGUGUACCGCCUGGGGAGUACGGUCGCAAGAUUAAAACUCAAAGGAAUAGACGGGGACCCGCACAAGCGGUGGAGCAUGUGGUUUAAUUCGAAGAUACGCGAAGAACCUUACCUGGGCUUGAUAUCCUAAGAACCUUUUAGAGAUAAGAGGGUGCUAGCUUGCUAGAACUUAGAGACAGGUGCUGCACGGCUGUCGUCAGCUCGUGUCGUGAGAUGUUGGGUUAAGUCCCGCAACGAGCGCAACCCACGUAUUUAGUUGCUAACGGUUCGGCCGAGCACUCUAAAUAGACUGCCUUCGUAAGGAGGAGGAAGGUGUGGACGACGUCAAGUCAUCAUGGCCCUUAUGCCCAGGGCGACACACGUGCUACAAUGGCAUAUACAAUGAGACGCAAUACCGCGAGGUGGAGCAAAUCUAUAAAAUAUGUCCCAGUUCGGAUUGUUCUUUGCAACUCGAGAGCAUGAAGCCGGAAUCGCUAGUAAUCGUAGAUCAGCCAUGCUACGGUGAAUACGUUCCCGGGUCUUGUACUCACCGCCCGUCACACCAUGGGAGUUGGUUUCACUCGAAGCCGGAAUACUAAACU
rnacentral:rRNA from 1 species